rnacentral:lncRNA from 1 species
CUCCUGCCGCCUGCAGGUGUGUUUCCUUGGGGCUUUUUUCGUUUUGGUCUCCGUUUUUUAUUUAUUUUUUUGAGAAAACUUUUAAUUAACGUUUUUUGCCGGCCCCGAGCUGGUUUUCGCGUCCGGCCUGCACGGCCCAGUGGCAAACGCCGAAUUUGGGUAAUUUCACGGGCCGCGGCGCAAAAGAAAUCGCGCGUGAGGAGGAUUCGGGCUUCCAGAUCUGUCCCUUGUUGUUUAAAACUGGAUGAGAUGACAAUGCAAAAAAUGGAAGUAACAAGAAGCAUCAUACUUUUCUUCUGUUCGGCAGUGUUGAGAAAAAACUGUGGAUCCUGGAAUUUUACUGUGGAUUUUACUGGUUUUCUGGAGUACUUUCCUGUUGAAACAGAGAUUGCCCUGUGUCAAGCGAGAAUCACUUGCAGGAGGAGCUGAUGCGUCUUUGCGUUCAGUCGAAGUUACAGACUUUCCGAUAGCACCCAUGAAGAGAAAAAAAAAAAAAAGUCCAGUGAUGGUAAUGCAUGCACAUUACAUGUCUUCAUUGUAGAGUGUUCUUCAGUACCUUAUAUCAUGGCUUAAAAAAAAAUCAAAAUACCAUUUGGAAUGUCAACAUUCAGUGGGCUUUGAGGAGAUGUAGCAGCACAUCAUGGUUUGUAGGGACAAGGAGAUACAGACCAUUCUGGGCUGCCUCAUUACCUCAAGGAUAAGACAAGAAAGUGAGCUUCUGGUUAUCAUAGAUGUGGAAGCUAACACAUUCCCCUGUAUCUCUUUAGUUCAGUUGAACAGGUACGUGUAGAUAAGUUUUCUCGGUGCUUAUAUCUGUGCACUUCCUUUGCAGCUGCAAAUAUAUACUGUAUGAAUUUGUGCUUGUGUGUGUCUGAACGGGGCUGGGCCUGCAGGCAGGAAGGACUUUCAGCUCCUUUUUGUUUUCCAACGUGGGCAUGGCUUGAUCUUGGCUGGAGCACAAUGCCUUCA